rnacentral:rRNA from 1 species
GAUGAACGCUAGCGGGAGGCUUAAUACAUGCAAGUCGAGGGGUAACAUGGAAGCUUGCUUCUGAUGACGACCGGCGCACGGGUGAGUAACGCGUACACGACCUACCUUUAAGAGGGGGAUAGCCUUGGGAAACUAAGAUUAAUACCCCAUAGUAUUACUGUUAUUCGAAGAUGGUAAUUAAAGAUUCGUCGCUUAAAGAUGGGUGUGCGUAUGAUUAGAUAGUUGGUGAGGUAACGGCUCACCAAGUCAACGAUCAUUAGGGGGCGUGAGAGCGUGGCCCCCCACACGGGUACUGAGACACGGACCCGACUCCUACGGGAGGCAGCAGUAAGGAAUAUUGGACAAUGGAGGCAACUCUGAUCCAGCCAUCCCGCGUGCAGGAUGACGGCCCUAUGGGUUGUAAACUGCUUUUAGAAGAGACGAAACUUAUUGAUUUAUCAGUAACUGACGGUAUCUUCAGAAUAAGCACCGGCUAACUCCG